rnacentral:lncRNA from 1 species
UCCUCUCCUUUGGAGCAAUUACAUCAAUAUACAAGCCUUAAAAUCCAAAGAAUACCAAAAUACUUGAUAAGGUUUUAUAAAAAACUUAUAUAUCCUUAUGAGGAAUUUUUCCCGAAGUUCAACAGCUCAUAACUUACGAUCUAACCGUCUAAACAACUCCAAAUUUUACAUGGAGUACUGAUAUAUCUUUAGCAACUACCACACCAAAAUUCAACCGUAAAUUCGUCUUGGAUCUUGUAAUAUCUUGAAAAUCCUAACUGUAGCUUCAAACCCUAGCUUUUUUACACCCGUGUACAACUUCCUUCAUAUCUCACAAAGUAAUUAUUCAAAUACUAUGAAACUUUGAUCUAAAGCUUUUUAACCCAAUUACACACACUUGUGGAAAUUUUGAGCCAAAAAUUCAUCCAGAAACUCAAGAUAUGGCUUCACCCAUAACUAGCAACAAAACAAUAUACUUACUGCCUUCAAAUUACAAGUGCUGUCUUCAACGCCUCAUAACUCCUUCACUCAAUCUUAGAAUUCACUAUACAGUAAGUAGAAUAUGUAGCCAAGAAAAUUCUCCCUCCAAAUCCAGUCGCCGAUCUUCCCUUGCUCUCCGUAUUCGUAUGCGAUGCCCAAAAGAAGUGACAGUAGGUACGAAAUUGACACCUUAUCUUUGAACAUUCAUAUCUUUUCCAUAAAAACUCGAAAUCACACAAAAUCUUCACCCAAAUUAUACCCAAAACCUUAAACCUUCUGAUCCUAGCC